ACAGCCAUAUCACGAUGAAACACCAGUUCUUGUUCGAUCACUGAAGUUAAGCAAUGUUGAUCCUGGUCAGAACCUAGAGGAGUGAACGCUUGUGAAUACCAGCUGCUGUAAG